GAGUGUGGAUGAAGUAGGCGGAAUUUGUGGUGUAGCGGUGAAAUGCAUAGAUAUCACGAGGAACUCCGAUUGCGCAGGCAGCUUACUAGGCCAUAACUGACGCUCAGGCACGAAGGCGUGGGGAUCAAACAGGAUUAGAUACCCUGGUAGUCCACGCAGUAAACGAUGAUUACUCGCUGUUUGCGAUACACAGUAAGCGGCUUAGCGAAAGCGUUAAGUAAUCCACCUGGGGAGUACGUUCGCAAGAAUGAAACUCAAAGGAAUUGACGGGGGCCCGCACAAGCGGAGGAACAUGUGGUUUAAUUCGAUGAUACGCGAGGAACCUUACCCGGGCUUGAAAUGCAUCUGACAGGAGCAGAGACGCUCUCUCCCUUCGGGGCAGAUGUGUAGGUGCUGCAUGGUUGUCGUCAGCUCGUGCCGUGAGGUGUCGGCUUAAGUGCCAUAACGAGCGCAACCCUCAUCAUUAGUUACCAUCAGGUUAAGCUGGGGACUCUAAUGAGACUGCCAUCGUAAGAUGUGAGGAAGGUGGGGAUGACGUCAAAUCAGCACGGCCCUUACGUCCGGGGCGACACACGUGUUACAAUGGAUGGUACAAAGGGCAGCUACAUGGCGACAUGAUGCUAAUCUCCAAAACCAUUCUCAGUUCGGAUCGAAGUCUGCAACUCGACUUCGUGAAGCUGGAUUCGCUAGUAAUCGCGCAUCAGCCACGGCGCGGUGAAUACGUUCCCGGGCCUUGUACACACCGCCCGUCAAGCCAUGGAAGCCGGGGGUACCUGAAGUUCGUAACCGUCAAAGGAGCGACCUAGGGUAAAACUGGUGACUGGGGCUAAGUCGUAACAAGGUAACCGUA
rnacentral:rRNA from 1 species